GGUUUGCCGUUGUUUCUGCAGCCUGUGACAUCGGCUGAGAUGGUUCCUAAUUUCCAAGUUAAUUCAGACAUCUCCACGAAGUGAAGGAAGAGAGCAAAAUAGCAAAACCUGAGGAUAAUCUAUCUACUAGUGUGUGCUUUGCAGCUUUCACUAGAAGAGAUGAAUGGCAACAAGGAAUAGCAUCAGUAGGCCGGGUUGGUUUGGGAUUAAUAGUGUCAGCUGACAUGUUAUUUGAAUAAGGCGGAGGGCGGAAUUGGUGACAUGGAUGGAGGAGGAUGAUCUUGGCAUGGAGGAGAAGGCGGGGAAGUUGCAGAUGAGGAAGUUGUAUGGGGACACAAGGAUGGUAUCGACAGAGCCGCACGCCGCUGCCAAACCAUAGGGUGACGCCUAUGACGAGUGUCUUUCCAUGGCCAGCUGGUGGCUGAGCGCGAUGUGUUGCUGUUGGUGAGAGUCUGGAGCAAGAGGAGGAGCUAGAGAAGAUAAAUGUCCCCUAUUUCCGUUACAGGUAUUUUUGAUUCAUUACCAUACAAAGGAGUCUUCUGGUAAUGAUUAUUUUGUAAAUUGUGGGGUAAAAAACAUAUUUGAUGGACUUCUAGGUUAAUUAGUUCUUUUUUAGACUAUGUUUCUAUGAUUUCUCUUUGUAUGGCUAUUGCUGCACAUAUAAUUGUUGCACUGCUCAUUGUAAUAUGAAAUUAGCAAUAAUUGCUUCUCUUCUGAUAUUUUUUGUCGUAUA